AUUGCCAUUUACGCGUUGCUCUCUUUUUAUUUUGAGCUAAAGGCGUGCAGCUGAGUUGUAACAAGGUUGGAUACUAUAAAGGAGUAUGGGGCCCAUAACCAGAAUUGUACUCCUACUGCUAGAGUUGUACAUUACUGUUUGCCGUCAAUCAUAUGCUGUUGGGACCCACCAUGAAUUCGGAUUCGGUGCAUAUUUUUCAAUUGGACUUGCUGGUGUUUGUGGUUCUGCAAAGCGCUUUCCUAAAAUUGGUAUGUCCUGUUUUAGACGGUAGAAUUAACUUA
rnacentral:lncRNA from 1 species